rnacentral:rRNA from 1 species
GAUGAACGCUGGCGGCGUGCCUAAUACAUGCAAGUCGAGCGAACGGACGAGAAGCUUGCUUCUCUGAUGUUAGCGGCGGACGGGUGAGUAACACGUGGAUAACCUACCUAUCCGACUGGGAUAACUUCGGGAAACCGGAGCUAAUACCGGAUGAUAUUUUGAACCGCAUGGUUCAAAAGUGAAAGACGGUCUUGCUGUCACUUAUAGAUGGAUCCGCGCUGCAUUAGCUAGUUGGUAAGGUAACGGCUUACCAAGGCAACGAUGCAUAGCCGACCUGAGAGGGGGAUCGGCCACACUGGAACUGAGACACGGUCCAGACUCCUACGGGAGGAAGCAGUAGGGAAGCUUCCGCAAUGGGCGAAAGACUGACGGAGCAACGCCGCGGGAGUGAUGAAGGUCUUCGGAGCGUAAAACUCUGUUAUUAGGGAAGAACAUAUGUGUAAGUAACUGUGCACAGCUUGACGGUACCUAAUCAGAAAGCCACGGCUAACUACGUG